UACAGAGGUCCCGAGCGUUGUUCGGAUUCAUUGGGCGUAAAGGGUGCGUAGGCGGCGGGGAAAGUCUGAUGUGAAAUCCUGGGGCUCAACCCUGGGAUGCCGGUCGAUACUGCCGGACUAGAGUUCGGAAGAGGCGAGUGGAAUUCCCGGUGUAGCGGUGAAAUGCGCAGAUAUCGGGAGGAACACCAAUGGCGAAGGCAGCUCGCUGGGACGUUACUGACGCUGAGACGCGAAAGCGUGGGGAGCAAACAGG
rnacentral:rRNA from 1 species